rnacentral:rRNA from 1 species
UGGCGGCGUGCCUAAUACAUGCAAGUCGAGCGAACAGACGAGGAGCUUGCUCCUCUGACGUUAGCGGCGGACGGGUGAGUAACACGUGGAUAACCUACCUAUAAGACUGGGAUAACUUCGGGAAACCGGAGCUAAUACCGGAUAAUAUAUUGAACCGCAUGGUUCAAUAGUGAAAGACGGUUUUGCUGUCACUUAUAGAUGGAUCCGCGCCGCAUUAGCUAGUUGGUAAGGUAACGGCUUACCAAGGCAACGAUGCGUAGCCGACCUGAGAGGGUGAUCGGCCACACUGGAACUGAGACACGGUCCAGACUCCUACGGGAGGCAGCAGUAGGGAAUCUUCCGCAAUGGGCGAAAGCCUGACGGAGCAACGCCGCGUGAGUGAUGAAGGUCUUCGGAUCGUAAAACUCUGUUAUUAGGGAAGAACAAAUGUGUAAGUAACUAUGCACGUCUUGACGGUACCUAAUCAGAAAGCCACGGCUAACUACGUGCCAGCAGCCGCGGUAAUACGUAGGUGGCAAGCGUUAUCCGGAAUUAUUGGGCGUAAAGCGCGCGUAGGCGGUUUUUUAAGUCUGAUGUGAAAGCCCACGGCUCAACCGUGGAGGGUCAUUGGAAACUGGAAAACUUGAGUGCAG